rnacentral:rRNA from 1 species
UACGUCGGGGGCAAGCGUUGUUCGGAUUCAUUGGGCGUAAAGGGUGCGUAGGCGGCGCGGUAAGUCGGGUGUGAAAUCUCGGAGCUUAACUCCGAAACUGCAUUCGAUACUGCCGUGCUUGAGGACUGGAAAGGAGACUGGAAUUUACGGUGUAGCGGUGAAAUGCGUAGAUAUCGUAAGGAAGACCAGUGGCGAAGGCGGGUCUCUGGACAGUUCCUGACGCUGAGGCACGAAGGCCAGGGGAGCAAACGGG